rnacentral:rRNA from 1 species
GACGAACGCUGGCGGCAUGCCUAACACAUGCAAGUCGAACGAGACCUUCGGGUCUAGUGGCGCACGGGUGCGUAACGCGUGGGAAUCUGCCCUAGGGUGCGGAAUAACUCGGAGAAAUCCGUGCUAAUACCGCAUAAGUGUCUUCGGACCAAAGAUUUAUCGCCCUGGGAUGAGCCCGCGUAGGAUUAGCUAGUUGGUGGGGUAAAGGCCUACCAAGGCGACGAUCCUUAGCUGGUCUGAGAGGAUGACUCAGCCACACUGGGACUGAGACACGGCCCAGACUCCUACGGGAGGCAGCAGUGGGGAAUAUUGGACAAUGGGCGAAAGCCUGAUCCAGCAAUGCCGCGUGAGUGAUGAAGGCCCUAGGGUUGUAAAGCGUCUUUUACCCGGGAUGAUAAUGACAGUACCGGGAGAACUAAGCUCCGGCUAACUCCGUG